AUGAACGCUGGCGGCGUGCCUAAUACAUGCAAGUCGAGCGAACAGACGAGGAGCUUGCUCCUCUGACGUUAGCGGCGGACGGGUGAGUAACACGUGGAUAACCUACCUAUAAGACUGGGAUAACUUCGGGAAACCGGAGCUAAUACCGGAUAAUAUAUUGAACCGCAUGGUUCAAUAGUGAAAGACGGUUUUGCUGUCACUUAUAGAUGGAUCCGCGCCGCAUUAGCUAGUUGGUAAGGUAACGGCUUACCAAGGCAACGAUGCGUACUCGACCUGAGAGGGUGAUCGGCCACACUGGAACUGAGACACGGUCCAGACUCCUACGGGAGGCAGCAGUAGGGAAUCUUCCGCAAAGGGCGAAAGCCUGACGGAGCAACGCCGCGUGAGUGAUGAAGGUCUUCGGAUCGUAAAACUCUGUUAUUAGGGAAGAACAAAUGUGUAAGUAACUAUGCACGUCUUGACGGUACCUAAUCAGAAAGCCACGGCUAACUACGUG
rnacentral:rRNA from 1 species